AUUGAACGCUGGCGGAAUGCUUUACACAUGCAAGUCGAACGGCAGCACGGACUUCGGUCUGGUGGCGAGUGGCGAACGGGUGAGUAAUGUAUCGGAACGUGCCCAGUCGUGGGGGAUAACGUAGUGAAAAUUACGCUAAUACCGCAUACGAUCUAUGGAUGAAAGCGGGGGAUCGCAAGACCUCGCGCGAUUGGAGCGGCCGAUAUCAGAUUAGGUAGUUGGUGGGGUAAAGGCCCACCAAGCCAACGAUCUGUAGCUGGUCUGAGAGGACGACCAGCCAAACUGGAACUGAGACACGGGCCAGCCUCCUCCGGGAGGAAGCAGUGGGGAAUUUUGGACAAUGGGCGAAAGCCUGAUCCAGCCAUUCCGCGUGCAGGAUGAAGGCCCUCGGGUUGUAAACUGCUUUUGUACAGAACGAAAAGGUUUCUACUAAUACUAGGAGCUCAUGACGGUACUGUAAGAAUAAGCACCGGCUAACUACGUGCCAGCCGCCGCAGUAA
rnacentral:rRNA from 1 species